CCUACGGGAGGCAGCAGUGAGGAAUCUUUGUCAAUGGGCGCAACCCUGAACCAGCCAAGUAGCGUGAAGGAUGACAGCCCUACGGGUUGUAAACUUCUUUUAUGCGGGAAUAAAGUGAGACACGUGUGCCUUAUUGCAAGUACUUCAUGAAUACGGUCCGGCUAAUUCCGUGCCAGCAGCCGCGGUAAUACGGAGGUUCCGGGCGUUGUCCGGAUUUAUUGGGUUUAAAGGGAGCGAAGGUGGUUUGUUAAGUUCGUUGUGAAAGGCCGCGGCUCAACCGUUACAUUGCAAAUGGUACUGGGAGGCUUGAGUACAGGUGAGGGAGGCGGAAUUCGUGGUGUAGCGGUGAAAUGCUUAGAUAUCACGAAGAACUCCGAUGGCGAAGGCAGCUUACUAAAC
rnacentral:rRNA from 1 species